UACGAAGGGGGCUAGCGUUGUUCGGAUUUACUGGGCGUAAAGCGCACGUAGGCGGAUCGUUAAGUCGGGGGUGAAAUCCUGGAGCUCAACUCCAGAACUGCCUUCGAUACUGGCGAUCUUGAGUCCGGAAGAGGUGAGUGGAACUCCUAGUGUAGAGGUGGAAUUCGUAGAUAUUAGGAAGAACACCAGUGGCGAAAGGCGGCUCACUGGUCCGGUAACUGACGCUGAGGUGCGAAAGCGUGGGGAGCAAACAGG
rnacentral:rRNA from 1 species